rnacentral:rRNA from 1 species
UUGCACGCUGGCGGCAUGCCUUACCCCUGCAAGUCGCACGGCAGCACGGGUGCUUGCACCUGGUGGCGAGUGGCGAACGGGUGAGUAAUACAUCGGAACAUGUCCUGUAGUGGGGGAUAGCCCGGCGAAAGCCGGAUUAAUACCGCAUACGAUCUACGGAUGAAAGCGGGGGACCUUCGGGCCUCGCGCUAUAGGGUUGGCCGAUGGCUGAUUAGCUAGUUGGUGGGGUAAAGGCCUACCAAGGCGACGAUCAGUAGCUGGUCUGAGAGGACGACCAGCCACACUGGGACUGAGACACGGCCCAGACUCCUACGGGAGGCAGCAGUGGGGAAUUUUGGACAAUGGGCGAAAGCCUGAUCCAGCAAUGCCGCGUGUGUGAAGAAGGCCUUCGGGUUGUAAAGCACUUUUGUCCGGAAAGAAAUCCUUGGCCCUAAUACGGUCGGGGGAUGACGGUACCGGAAGAAUAAGCACCGGCUAACUACGUG